rnacentral:rRNA from 1 species
UGGGGAAUAUUGCGCAAUGGGCGAAAGCCUGACGCAGCCACGCCGCGUGAGUGACGAAGGCCUUCGGGUUGUAAAGCUCUGUCGCGAGGGAAGAAAAGCCUGGGGUUAAUAACCUCAGGCGCUGACGGUACCUCGCAAGAAAGCACCGGCUAACUCCGUGCCAGCAGCCGCGGUAAUACGGAGGGUGCAAGCGUUGUUCGGAUUCACUGGGCGUAAAGCGUGCGUAGGCGGCUUGGUAAGUCGAAUGUGAAAGCCCAGGGCUCAACCCUGGAACUGCAUCCGAUACUGCCUAGCUUGAGUAUGGGAGAGGGAAGCGGAAUUCCUGGUGUAGCGGUGAAAUGCGUAGAUAUCAGGAGGAACACCCGUGGCGAAAGCGGCUUCCUGGCCCAAUACUGACGCUGAGGCACGAGAGCGUGGGGAGCAAACAGG